rnacentral:rRNA from 1 species
UACGGAGGAUGCGAGCGUUAUCCGGAUUUAUUGGGUUUAAAGGGUGCGUAGGCGGAUUUGUAAGUCAGCGGUAAAAAUGCGGUGCUCAACGCCGUAUCGCCGUUGAAACUGCAGGUCUUGAGUGAGCGAGAAGUAUGCGGAAUGCGUGGUGUAGCGGUGAAAUGCAUAGAUAUCACGCAGAACUCCGAUGCGAAGGCAGCAUACCGGCGUCAACUGACGCUGAGGCACGAAAGCGUGGGGAUCGAACAGG